GGACUACCGGGGUAUCUAAUCCUGUUUGCUACCCACGCUUUCGUGCUUCAGCGUCAGUUAUCGUCCAGUAAGCCGUUUACACCACCGGUGUUCCUCCUGAUAUCUACGCAUUUCACCGCUACACCAGGAAUUCCACUUACCUCUCCGACACUCUAGCCUCUCAGUAUUCGGCGCACCCUCCCGGUUGAGCCGGGAGAUUUCACACCAAACUUAAAAGACCGCCUACGCACCCUUUACGCCCAGUAACUCCGAACAACGCUUGCUGCCUACGUAUUACCGCGGCUGCUGGCAC
rnacentral:rRNA from 1 species